rnacentral:rRNA from 1 species
GACGAACGCUGGCGGCGUGCCUAAUACAUGCAAGUUGAGCGCUGAAGGUUGGUACUUGUACCAACUGGAUGAGCAGCGAACGGGUGAGUAACGCGUGGGGAAUCUGCCUUUGAGCGGGGGACAACAUUUGGAAACGAAUGCUAAUACCGCAUAAAAACUUUAAACACAAGUUUUAAGUUUGAAAGAUGCAAUUGCAUCACUCAAAGAUGAUCCCGCGUUGUAUUAGCUAGUUGGUGAGGUAAAGGCUCACCAAGGCGAUGAUACAUAGCCGACCUGAGAGGGUGAUCGGCCACAUUGGGACUGAGACACGGCCCAAACCCCUACGGGAGGCAGCAGUAGGGAAUCUUCGGCAAUGGACGAAAGUCUGACCGAGCAACGCCGCGUGAGUGAAGAAGGUGUUCGGAUCGUAAAACUCUGUUGGUAGAGAAGAACGUUGGUGAGAGUGGAAAGCUCAUCAAGUGACGGUAACUACCCAGAAAGGGAGGGCUAACUACGUG